GUAAUUGAACCAUGAGGCUUGAAAUCAUUGGUAUAGCUCACGUUCACCUUCCCGAGCUUCUUCAACUACGGUAUGACGAGAACCACAUGGGAAGGAUGAUUUUCGCAGGGCAACAGUUGCUCCCGUUGCGUUCCAGGAGUGUGCGCAAGCUUAAGGAGUUAGACCCUCGAUUCCACGAGCCCCUCGCACAGGCCGGACUACUACCGUUCGCACUUAUGAUGGCAGGAGCUCCCAUGGAGGGUGGUGGCAGGACUCCACUGCCGCCGAUCGAGGUCUCGCUGCUCAUAGGCCUCGUCGACCGCUAGUGUCCUGAGACGCACACGUUCCACUUUCCUUGCGGAGAGAUAACCGUUACUUUACAGGACGUUGCCAUGCUGACCGGGCUCCCAAUAAGGGGCACCCUGUUAGUACUUCCACGACCAGCAAAGGAGCAGUGGAAGAGUUAUAUUCACGACAGGUUUAACGUGCAAUAUGACAUGAAGAAUGUAAGGCUCUCCAUGUCAUGGAUCCAUGGCCUACCACAGUUCAGCCCUUGCCCACCGGAUACGGACGAGACAACAGUUAUGCAGCAUUACGAGGUGUACUUGUACAUCUUGCUUGGAGGCAUUAUGUUUUGCAACACGGCAGACGAUUAUGUACUUCCGCAUAUUGUAUGGUUAGCGCGUGAGCUCACGUCACGUCCGUACGAGCCGACACAUUACAGUUGGGGAUCAGCUUUGUUGGCUGCUACAUACAAAGGAUUGUGUGCCGCUACCCAACGGUCAACGAAGAUGGGAUCUAUUUCUAGCUGCCUACACCUUCUACAGCUUUGGAGCUGGGAUUAUCUUUCGGUGUGUCGACCGUGGGUGAGCAAGACCUACUAUCCAGUUCCCAUCUCCGACGGCGUGGUCGACGACAUGAGGCCAACGAUGGGUUAUCGGUGGCUUCAUGCCAGGCUGCGAUGGAGUCACCACCAAGACCAUGAAAACUACGCCCGGGUGAUCAGUGACCUUGACGUCCUCAGCGCCAAACUUGCGGAGUGGAAUCCAUGGCGUAGUGAACGAGUGGCCGAAGUUACGACUAGCGGCCUCAUCGCAUCAUCUUGUUUCUGUGACUCCGACCUAUGGAUGACUAGAUGCUUUUUCUUUAUAUGAACAAUGUAGAAGUGUAUUCUCCUGACCGUGUGCAAAGGCAGUUUGAUCAUCAUCAGUUGGUGCCAGUACCUCCCCUACGAGACGCUGGUCAGGCGCACGAGUAAGUGUGUUACUGUAUGUACCAUUCUUAUGUUACGAAAUUUUAACUAUUUAUGUCACAUACAGGAGGAGUGUCUUAAGGAAACACAAGCACACACGACUGGUCAGAGAUUAAUGCAGAAUACAUAACCCGGUGGAUGGAGUCUGGCCCAGUGGAUGCCGUCGUUCCUGCGGGACAGUACGACGAUAGCACGUAUUGGGAGUACCUUGCGUGGUAUCAAUCACGAACGCGUCCCACCUUACUCAGCGGCAACGUACCGCCAGCCCCCAGACACUUCCCCGAAGAUCGUGCAUGACUUCUUCAUGUGGUGACCGAAGCGGGGUACGAAAUGCAUAGGCAUGCGGGGCAUGAAUGUGGGGAAGCGAGUGGGUCAGCCAUGCGAAGGGAUCGGCAUCCUCUCCGGGAAUACAUGAGGACGAGAGGGUCUCGCCUUUGGUCCGCGAUACGUGGACUAGGUGGUUGCGCCCCGCGUUAUAUGGGAUACGACGUACCCGCCAUGGACCUGUCCUGUGCCUCCCACAGCAGGCGCUCAUCCAGUGCUCAUGAGGCACAUUCACGGGAGGCCCCUUCGUCUGCUCCGCUCCCGAGGAGUGCACACUGGGUUCGCAGCCCCCUCCGUUCACACAACCUACUCAGGCUACGCAGACAACUCCACCAGGAUUAUCAACUCACCACGAGGACGUCAUUGACUGCACACAGCAGACACCCACCUGGAGUGGCACUCAAGAUUUUGACUGGACUGCUGCAUUGCAAGCGAGCAGCUUCACCGAGCUACUGAGCGGCCAAUACUCCCAAUAUCCCGAUGCACCAGGGGGUUCACACUGGUACCAGGAAGCUGACACUUCAUCAUUUCGGACUCCCACCGAGCACGUACUACCGGCAGGCACACUCCCGCAUGACGAUCCUACAGCGUGGUAUAUGCAGAGCCGAGUUAGCGGUUCUGGAUACACAUUCGGUGGAGUUGGAACACAACAUGACGAUGAAGAUGAGGACAAAGGGCACACGUGGUAGGGGCCAGCUCAGGCCGCUGGGAUGAGGGCCACACACCCGCCAGACGAUUACACUCCUAGGAUUGCUUGUGGCGUCGGCGUCGUUAAUGAGCUAAUGCAAUAUAUUGUGUACUCAUCUAUUUUGUGUACUCAUCUGUACU